ACGAGUUAGCAGUGCUUGACUGACCUUGCUCAAACAUGCUGAUGUUGUGAGGAUGUUUUUUCCCUUAUUUAUUUAUUGAUGCAUAUGAGUGUACAGUGAUUGUAUAUUUCUCUGAGUUUUACCUAAAUUGGUCUUUAAAAGGAAGAGUAAUCUUUGUCCUUUAUCUUUUCACCUAGUUGCAUUAAUGCUUGCCAGGGCAAUAAUUAGGCUUAUCUAAUAGGUUUCUCCACAUUUUAAAAUCAAUAAUAGCAUAAGAUAGAGAGAGAUUGGUCUUGUGUAACAUUUAGAAUAAUGGGAUCAGAAGGAAAAUCAGGCUUGAAGAACCUUAGAAGAUAUCUAACCUCCUGCUCAAAAAAGGACAGCUUCGAGGUCACUCCAGUUUGCACAGGGCUUUUUCCAGUCUAGUCUCGAAAACUUCCAAAGAUGAAGUCUGCACAGCCUGCUCCUUGGAUUGACCACCUUCCAAAUGAUAAAGGUUUUUGUUUUUUGUUUGUUUGUUUGUUUUAAAUAUUUUUUAUUUACAGGAUAUUUUCAUUAGGAAAAUGAGUUGGAACAGUGACAAGAUCAGCUGCUUCCCUUCCAGUCUAGAUGUUGGUAUGUAAAAGAAACUCCACAGUUUCUACACAUUAGUGAAUGUAGAAGUGCAGUAAAUGAAUCUUCAUGUAGUAUGAAAUUAUUGAUGUAAAUACCACGGGAAACAAAACAAUAGUGCAGUAUUAUAGUUUUGAUCCAUUUUCUUCCUUAUUGCUUCUGUUGUUCUGUUGACAAUAAUUUAUCACGUUCUUUUUCUGCAAUAUUACUUGGCUUUGUUUUAGUAUAGUUGUGUUUUGCCUUUAAAAUACUAUGAAAACUAUUAUUCUUGUUUUUUAAUCAUUAUCUAAUAAAAAAGAUAAAAUAUGGCAUCUUUUGGAAAUACUAGGUGAAAUGUUGAUUCUGAAACAAUGCUGGUAAAGAAAAAGCACAGUGGCUACCAGUUUUUCUUGUCUAUCAGAACACUGAAGAUGGGUUUUAUAUAGAUGGUUCUUUAAAAGAAAAGUGCCCAAAUUUCAGUUUCAACCUCCACGUGCUACUGAAUGCAAGCCUAUCCUAAUUUCAAAAUAUUGUUAAGAUAUUACAUCAUUGUACUUGAGCUCUAACAUUAGGUUAUGAAACCAAAACUGUGCACUGUGGACACCAGCAAGUUUGUCUCAAUGCUAUGGUUCUGUACCUGAGCAUUUCAUUAUUUUCUGAUUAUUCAAUUACAUUGCAGAUAAUGCCCAGUAAGAGAAUCAUCCCAGAUAGCAUGAAGAAAUAUUGCCUCUUAAGCUAAAUCUGCACGUAUUGGCAACUGAUUAUCCAAUUAGUUCAUGCUUAAUGCUGAAUUUGGUAUUUCUUGUGGCGUAUAUUUAUUUCCCAGUAGUUUUUAUACAGCAACAAAUAGCUGAAUGGAGUUACCCUGUUGCGCUUAAACUCAGAUCAGCUCCCUGCCUGCAUUUUUGUGGAUGUUGUCAAAGUUAUGCAUUCAGUUCAUGUUUAUUCCUUUAUUGUUAUUACUUGUUCUGCAUGCAUUUGUUUUCCAGUAGCUCUAGUUUGAUUGAAAAAAAUGGCCUGUGUUUAUUCUGUCAUGUCUGAACUAGACUCAGCUGCCUGCCUCUAUUUCUAAAAUAAUUCAAAUAUAGGUGGAUCCCUUU
rnacentral:lncRNA from 7 species